GAUGAACGCUGGCGGCGUGCCUAAUACAUGCAAGUCGAGCGAACGGACGAGAAGCUUGCUUCUCUGAUGUUAGCGGCGGAGGGGUGAGUAACACGUGGAUAACCUACCUAUAAGACGGAGGUAACUUCGGGAAACCGGAGCUAAUACCGGAUAAUAUUUUGAACCGCAUGGUUCAAAAGUGAAAGACGGUCUUGCUGUCACUUAUAGAUGGAUCCGCGCUGCAUUAGCUAGUUGGUGAGGUAACGGCUUACCAAGGCAACGAUGCAUAGCCGACCUGAGAGGGUGAUCGGCCACACUGGAACUGAGACACGGUCCAGACACCUACGGGAGGCAGCAGUGGGGAAUAUUCCGCAAUGGGCGAAAGCCUGACGGAGCAAAGCCGCGUGAGUGAUGAAGGUCUUCGGGUCGUAAAACGCUGUUAUGAGGGAAGAACAUAUGUGUGAGUAAAUGUGCACAUCUUGACGGUACCUAAUCAGAAAGCCACGGCUAACUACGUG
rnacentral:rRNA from 1 species